UGCGGUAGGUGAAUGCUUCGGGUUCUCAAGGACAGUCGGCGGGCAGGUAUUCUAGCCUUGAUGUAGUUCCUGUGGUUGGUUUGCAUUUGUUUUCUCUGUCGCCUGAAUCCCUGGCCAUUUCUCUGCCUCAGUAGCUGUGGAGCUGAAGGAGGCUCACUUCUCUGGCCUAUGUUCUUAUGAAGUGACUGCUGACAGAAAGCCCCUGGAGGAAAGGAGAGGUUGUCUGCUGAGGGAGCUGCUGAGCUGGCACUAUCAAGAAAUGGAAGUGUUGAGAGACUGCAGGGUGUGGUAGGAAUGGUGCCACUGGAGUUUGCCAUGCAAGAGAGGGAGGUGCAGCCAGCCAGUCCAAAGACAGUUCAGUAGGAACUGCCUGUGGACCCAGAGAGUACAUAACAAACAGUAUGGUCUUGCCCUUCUAUGCGUUGGAUUCCUACUCUGUUGAGCAUACAUUACUGUGAGGCCAAAUGCAUGCUUGGCAAGUGUUUGUGGUUUAAGAGAACACUGAGAAGACUUCUUUGAAUAGCUCAUUCAAGCGAGAAGGUGAUACUAAUUAUGGGCUGACAUGAUGGGAAAGUCAUUGAAACCUACAGAAGCACUCAUCAUCAUCUAGAAGAUUUUGGAUCAGGUUCUCUCUAAGGCCUGAGCUCCUAUAACUCUACAUCUUGUGAAAAAACAUACUUUUUGUCUGAGGAUUAUCCUUCUGUUUGGAGUUAAGUGUCAGAAAUAACAGGCAUUUUUUUCCUCUGAAGAUAAUGGAUGAAAACUAAGAGCUGCUUGUAUUUAUACUACUUCUGUUCCUUUGUUAAGGAACUCAGUUAUGACUGAAUUUUAAAAAUAACAGUUUUUAAUGUGUUUUUUAAUUUCUUCAAAAACUUACUUGUUCUUUGUGUGUGUCAUAUGUUCUGAUGCAUUAGACUGGAUCUUUCCCAAGGUUAUAUGCUAUACCUUCACCAGAAGAGUUGGGAAGGUAUUUUAUUAAUAGCUGAUCAGUAACUCUAGAACUGAUCUUCUAGACAGUUUUCUAGAACUGUCUGUAUGAGAUAAGAAUGUCACUGUUACGUGGUGCUGCCAAGUUUCAGUGGAUAUUUGUGUGAAAAGUGCACCUGUACUGUGAAUUUUGGAAUUCCAAACAAGAUGGCAGUCCCUAAGGAAGUAUCUGAAAACAUCUGGUAGGGGUGCUAUGGCACUAGGUAGAAUCUUACAGAAUGCUGAAACCCAGUGGGAAAAAUGGUUUUGUAUUUAACUUCUUAUACAUGUAAAAUAAUUUUUUAAACUUUGUACCUUUUAGUGAGGUUAUUAGUAGUGGUUUUGAUAUGCAUACGUGUUUAUUUAUGUAAGUGUAUUUCUAAAGGACUAAAGUUUGUUUCUUUGGUUUUUUUUUUAAAUUUUGCCUCAGGUUACUGUAUACAAGAAUCCUGAUCAUUAUUAUUGUUACUUACCAUGAUGGAGUACCCAGGCAGUGUCAACAAGCACAUAUUAAGAUCUCUUUCUGUCUUUCUUACAUGGCUUCAAAGUUUAGAAUAAAUAGGACUAUGUGAUUUUUUUUUUAAUUACUAAAAUUUACUC